CCUACGGGUGGCAGCAGUGGGGAAUAUUGCACAAUGGGGGAAACCCUGAUGCAGCGACGCCGCGUGAGCGAUGAAGUAUUUCGGUAUGUAAAGCUCUAUCAGCAGGGAAGAAAAUGACGGUACCUGACUCUGAAGCCCCGGCUAACUACGUUCCAGCAGCCGCGGGAAUACGUAGGGGGCCAGCGUUAUCCGGAUUUACUGGGUGUAAAGGGAGCGUAGACGGCGAUGCAAGCCAGAUGUGAAAGCCCGGGGCGCAACCCCGGGACUGCAUUUGGAACUGUAUAGCUGGAGUGUCGGAGAGGCAGGCGGAAGUCCUGGUGUAGCGGUGAAAUGCGUAGAUAUUAGGAGGAACCCCAGUGGCGAAGGCGGCCUGCUGGACGAUGACUGACGUUGAGGCUCGAAAGCGUGGGGAGCAAACAGGAUUAGAUACCCCAGUAGUC
rnacentral:rRNA from 1 species